AUUUGAGAGUUUGAUCCUGGCUCAGGACGAACGCUGGCGGCGUGCCUAAUACAUGCAAGUUGAGCGCUGAAGGUUGGUACUUGUACCGACUGGAUGAGCAGCGAACGGGUGAGUAACGCGUGGGGAAUCUGCCUUUGAGCGGGGACAACAUUUGGAAACGAAUGCUAAUACCGCAUAAAAACUUUAAACACAAGUUUUAAGUUUGAAAGAUGCAAUUGCAUCACUCAAAGAUGAUCCCGCGUUGUAUUAGCUAGUUGGUGAGGUAAAGGCUCACCAAGGCGAUGAUACAUAGCCGACCUGAGAGGGUGAUCGGCCACAUUGGGCUGAGAACGGCCCAAACUCCUACGGGAGGCAGCAGUAGGGAAUCUUCGGCAAUGGACGAAAGUCUGACCGAGCAACGCCGCGUGAGUGAAGAAGGUUUUCGGAUCGUAAAACUCUGUUGGUAGAGAAGAACGUUGGUGAGAGUGGAAAGCUCAUCAAGUGACGGUAACUACCCAGAAAGGGACGGCUAACUACGUGCCAGCAGCCGCGGUAACGUAGGUCCCGAGCGUUGUCCGGAUUUAUUGGGCGUAAAGCGAGCGCAGGUGGUUUAUUAAGUCUGGUGUAAAAGGCAGUGGCUCAACCAUUGUAUGCAUUGGAAACUGGUAGACUUGAGUGCAGGAGAGGAGAGUGGAAUUCCAUGUGUAGCGGUGAAAUGCGUAGAUAUAUGGAGGAACACCGGUGGCGAAAGCGGCUCUCUGGCCUGUAACUGACACUGAGGCUCGAAAGCGUGGGGAGCAAACAGGAUUAGAUACCCUGGUAGUCCACGCCGUAAACGAUGAGUGCUAGAUGUAGGGAGCUAUAAGUUCUCUGUAUCGCAGCUAACGCAAUAAGCACUCCGCCUGGGGAGUACGACCGCAAGGUUGAAACUCAAAGAAUUGACGGGGGCCCGCACAAGCGGUGGAGCAUGUGGUUUAAUUCGAAGCAACGCGAAGAACCUUACCAGGUCUUGACAUACUCGUGCUAUUCCUAGAGAUAGGAAGUUCCUUCGGGACACGGGAUACAGGUGGUGCAUGGUUGUCGUCAGCUCGUGUCGUGAGAUGUUGGGUUAAGUCCCCGCAACGAGCGCAACCCCUAUUGUUAGUUGCCAUCAUUAAGUUGGGCACUCUAACGAGACUGCCGGUGAUAAACCGGAGGAAGGUGGGGAUGACGUCAAAUCAUCAUGCCCCUUAUGACCUGGGCUACACACGUGCUACAAUGGAUGGUACAACGAGUCGCGAGACAGUGAUGUUUAGCUAAUCUCUUAAAACCAUUCUCAGUUCGGAUUGUAGGCUGCAACUCGCCUACAUGAAGUCGGAAUCGCUAGUAAUCGCGGAUCAGCACGCCGCGGUGAAUACGUUCCCGGGCCUUGUACACACCGCCCGUCACACCACGGGAGUUGGGAGUACCCGAAGUAGGUUGCCUAACCGCAAGGAGGGCGCUUCCUAAGGUAAGACCGAUGACUGGGGUGAAGUCGUAACAAGGUAGCCGUAUCGGAAGGUGCGGCUGGAUCACCUCCUUU
rnacentral:rRNA from 1 species